UAGUCAUAUGCUUGUCUCAAAGAUUUAGCCAUGCAUGCCUAAGUACACGCCUAAAUAUGGUAAAACCGCGAAUGGCUCAUUAAAUCAGCUAUGGUUCCUUGGAUCAUAAUUAUACUACAUGGAUAACUGUAGUAAUUCUAGAGCUAAUACGUGCCUUGAUGCCCUGAUCCGCAAGGUGAGGGGUGCACUUAUUAGUCUACAAACCAAACGAUUCGUCGUUGUUUGUGGUGACUCUGGAUAACUUUGUAUGAUCGCAGCUGGCCUCCGUGUCGGCGACGGAUCCAUCAAAUAUCUGCCCUAUCAACUUACGAUGGUAGGUGAUAUGCCUACCAUGGUUAUGACGGGUAACGGGGAAUCAGGGUUCGAUUCCGGAGAGGGAGCCUGAGAAACGGCUACCACAUCCAAGGAAGGCAGCAGGCGCGUAAAUUACCCACUCUCUGAACGAGGAGGUAGUGAAGAUAAAUAUCGAUACAGAACUCAUUUGAGGCUCUGUAAUCGAAAUGAGAGCAAUAUAAAUCCUACAACGAGGAUCUAUU
rnacentral:rRNA from 1 species